ACACGAUGGCUCUUAGCCAAUUCACACGUAUGAUGCUGGAAACAUCAAGACAGGAAAAUAAUGAUGGAAACAACUUCUUAAGAUAACCAAACGAGGCAUGCCCAAGACGUUUAUGUCAUAACCAAAUUUUGUCUCUCUCCCCCUCAGAAUGAGUUCCACUAGUUGUGAAAGCUUGACCAACCUUGACCUCACUAUCCGGUGCCC
rnacentral:lncRNA from 1 species